rnacentral:rRNA from 1 species
UUAAGUCCCGCAACGAGCGCAACCCUUGUCAUUAGUUGCUACAUUCAGUUGGGCACUCUAAUGAGACUGCCGGUGACAAACCGGAGGAAGGUGGGGAUGACGUCAAGUCCUCAUCGGCCCUUAUAGGUGGGCUACACACGUCAUACAAUGGAUGGUACAAAGGGUCGCCAACCCGCGAGGGGGAGCCAAUCCCAUAAAGCCAGUCGUAGUCCGGAUCGCAGUCUGCAACUCGACUGCGUGAAGUCGGAAUCGCUAGUAAUCGUGGAUCAGCAUGUCACGGUGAAUACGUUCCCGGGUCUU